UGCAUGGGGCUGCGCCGGAGUAAUUUUCGGCGUACAGGCCACUAACAGAUGGUCGGACGGACAAAUCCGCUAGCCAUAUACAGCUUCGCUGUAGGAGAAAGAUGCUUUUGUGUUGGUUGUGUGCAUUUGCACUGUGUUCUUAUCGACGAUAGAAUUCCCUGCCGUCACAACAGCGCCGAAUGUUGCGACCAAAAUUUUUUCGAGAUCUUAAGCACAGUGGCCAGGAAGAAGCGGUAAACUUGCUGUUGCCUUACCAUCCUUUCUGCUACGUUGUGCAGAUCAUGCCUCUUCUUUCCAAGUGGCUGCCUGCGGAUGGCACAACUGUCGUAACAACAACGACAUCGAUGUUGUUCAUGGUGGAACCUGUCAACGGCAGCUCUUUGUAUCGAAACGUAGCGCCGACUACUUUCCCUGGGAUUCACGAGAAGCCAUCAUCACCGGCCACAACGGCUUCUGCCACUCAUAUAGAAGCCUGGAAGUAACCGUCUUAUUUCAGUGUCCAGGUUGGAGCGUCAACAUGCUGUCACCUUCCCAUCCUUUCUGCCACGUUGUGCAGGGGACGGCCGCAAGGACGGCGAUGCCGCGAGCGCUGAUCUAUUGCACCGCAGCAAAGAAACGUCGCAGCUCGUUCCGCUGCGACCGGAGCACGUCCCGGGGGCGGUACACGGUGUGACUGGCGCGCUCUCGCUUUGGCAAGCCCGCCGGUCUCUUUCGCUGCAUUUAGGAUACGAUACUAAAGCUGCUUGCGGGAGCCGAUACAUUCGGCUGAAAGCACGACGUACCCAACGGCAGCCAUCCCAUCUGACAGUUGCAGCCACGAAUGAAGAAGCAGCCGCAGACAUGCCACCUGGGCCGCGCGCUGACAAGGCUGGUGCAGUGCAGUCCUUGGAAGCUGGCAUAAGUUGCCAAACUGAGAUGACUGGGAGUGACAUCGUUCAUCUUGAAAAGGAAGAAGUGAGCCUACAACAAGAGCUUGCAUCUGUGAAGACGGAACUAGCGGCAGGAAAAUUCACCAAAACCGUACUGCGCCAUAAUGAUGAAAAAGUGUAUUAUACAAAGCUGCCGCCAUUUCUUAUGCUUUUUUCCCUGUUAAACCUUUUCAAAGAACACGUCUCACACUCUUCCAGUAAUGUCCUCACGCAGUUUGAGGAGCUGGUUAUGUUUCUCAUGCAGAUGAGACUUGCAAUUCACCUUCAAGAUUGGGCUUAUCGCUUUAAGGUGUCACAGCCAACCGCUUACAGAAUUUGCGAGAAGUGGCUAGACGUUUGUUACGACCACCUGAGUUCACUGGUGUACUGGCCUGAGAAAGAAGACGUAAUCAGAACCAUGACAGUUGGUUUCAUUGAGAAUUUGAGAAUUGAGAGAAUCGAGAAUUGAGAAUGUGAGGAUCAUAUUGGAUUGCUUUGAAGUUUUCAUCCAAAGGCCAAGUCCGCUUCUGACACGAGCUCAGACAUGAUCCCAGCACAAACAUCACAACACGAUGAAGUUCCUGAUAGCAAUAUGCCCACAAGCCAUGAUAACAUAUAUUUCUAAAGCAUUUGUUGGGGAUAUAGCGACAAGCUCAUCACUGAGGACAGCGGUGUGCUACAGUUACUUGACAGGGGAGACAUUGUUUUGGCAGCAAAAAGCCUUGAAAUGUGUUGUGCACACUGGCAAUCCCUGCCUUUGCAAAAGGUAAAAGGCAGCUAUCUAGCAGGGAAGUUGCGCAAACGAGGGAAAUCGCUAAUGUGCGCAUUCAAGUGGAGCGUGUAAUAGGACAGAGAGCUUGAGAAAUAGAAGACAGCAAAGGCAGGGAGGUUAACCAGACGCACGUCCAGUUUGCUACCCUGCACUGGGGGAAGGGGGUAUGGAGAUUAAGAGAGAGAGAGCGCAGUUUCACGCACAGUAUAAGGUUCCCACCGAGUCUACCCACGGUUUCCAAGACCUAUCGACUUGAGAUAUUUCAAGAGCGUUUUCGUGGCUUUCUGUGCCAUCGACGCGUAC